CCUACGGGCGGCAGCAGUGAGGAAUAUUGGUCAAUGGGCGCAAGCCUGAACCAGCCAAGUCGCGUGAGGGAUGACGGUCCUAUGGAUUGUAAACCUCUUUUGUCGGGGAGCAAGGCCCGCCACGUGUGGCGGGAAGGAGAGUACCCGAAGAAAAAGCAUCGGCUAACUCCGUGCCAGCAGCCGCGGUAAUACGGGGGAUGCGAGCGUUAUCCGGAUUUAUUGGGUUUAAAGGGUGCGUAGGCGGAAGGUUAAGUCAGCGGUAAAAUGUCGGUGCGCAACACCGGCCUGCCGUUGAAACUGGUCUUCUUGAGUGAGCGAGAAGUAUGCGGAAGGCGUGGUGUAGCGGUGAAAUGCAUAGAUAUCACGCAGAACUCCGAUUGCGAAGGCAGCAUACCGGCGCUCAACUGACGCUGAGGCACGAAAGCGUGGGGAUCGAACAGGAUUAGAUACCCUC
rnacentral:rRNA from 1 species